UGGGGAAUUUUGGACAAUGGGCGAAAGCCUGAUCCAGCAAUGCCGCGUGAGUGAAGAAGGCCUUCGGGUUGUAAAGCUCUUUUGUCUGGGAAGAAACGGUGAAAGCUAAUAUCUUUUGCUAAUGACGGUACCUGAAGAAUAAGCACCGGCUAACUACGUGCCAGCAGCCGCGGUAAUACGUAGGGUGCAAGCGCUAAUCGGAAUUACUGGGCGUAAAGCGUGCGCAGGCGGUUUUGUAAGUCUGAUGUGAAAUCCCCGAGCUCAACCUGGGAAUUGCAUUGGAGACUGCAAGGCUAGAAUCUGGCAGAGGGGGGUAGAAUUACACGUGGAGCAGUGAAAUGCAUAGAUAUGUGAAGGAACACCGAUGGCGAAGGCAGCCACCUGGGUAAAGAUUGACACUCAUGCACGAAAGCGUGGGGAGCAGA
rnacentral:rRNA from 1 species